rnacentral:ribozyme from 1 species
CUCCUCGUUUUAGAAGAGGGAGAGGGAGAGGGAGAAGACGAGGGAGAAAGAGGG